rnacentral:misc_RNA from 1 species
AAGUCAUAACAAGGUUUCCGUAGGUGAACCUGCGGAAGGAUCAUUAUUGAAUUCGGCCUCCUGGCCUUAUACAUUAAAAACACUGUGAACCGUGGCUUCGGCCCAAACUUGAAGUCUAGAAUGUAACAUAUCAUAACAAAAUACAACUUUUAACAACGGAUCUCUUGGCUCUC